ACUUGAGAUGGAACAGAGGAGCAAACGACAUGGAGGAAAAUCAAAGUCUGUUGCUCUGAAAGUUCAAGAGGAAAGCUGCUAAGAGCAAGGGAAAAGCUCAUGUCACAAAGUCUGACAUUGAGACAUCAAACUCUGAUGACUCAAACUCUGAUGUUCCCUCAGACUCUGAAGAAAGUGAUGAUGAGAUGAUGCAGUUAGCAG
rnacentral:lncRNA from 1 species